UUUUCUGAAAUUGAUCUGACCAUAUCUUGUCAACCACACAUGGGAAUUGAGUGUUCUUGGACUUUUUGGAAAGGCAAUAACAAGACCUUCAACUUUCAUGUUGGGAAAAUUUUGAUUUGAAGCUUGGUUCAUGAUAUAAUUUUGAGGAGCAAAAACUUUCCAUUUUGGGCAGGUGAGAAUUACAGGUCAUUUCCAUUUUGGGAAACUUUUUGUCUGAC
rnacentral:lncRNA from 1 species